rnacentral:rRNA from 1 species
UACGUAGGGUGCGAGCGUUGUCCGGAAUUAUUGGGCGUAAAGGGCUCGUAGGCGGUUUGUCGCGUCGGGAGUGAAAACCUCGGGCUUAACUCGGGGCUUGCUUUCGAUACGGGCAGACUGGAGGUAUGCAGGGGAGAACGGAAUUCCUGGUGUAGCGGUGAAAUGCGCAGAUAUCAGGAGGAACACCGGUGGCGAAGGCGGUUCUCUGGGCAUGACCUGACGCUGAGGAGCGAAAGUGUGGGGAGCGAAUGGG